UAGGGAAUCUUCGGCAAUGGACGAAAGUCUGACCGAGCAACGCCGCGUGAGUGAAGAAGGUUUUCGGAUCGUAAAACUCUGUUGGUAGAGAAGAAUGACAUUGAGAGUAACUGUUCAAUGUGUGACGGUAUCUUACCAGAAAGGAACGGCUAAAUACGUGCCAG
rnacentral:rRNA from 1 species